CCAAUAGCGUAUAUUAAAGUUGUUGCAGUUAAAAAGCUCGUAGUUGAAUUUCGGGAUCAAUAUGUCUGUCGUGCCUUCGGUACGUACGGGUAUAAUUGGUUUCUACCUUCUGAUGAACCUUGAUGCCAUUAAUUUGGUGUCUUGGGGACUCAGGACUGUUACCUUGAAAAAAUUAGAGUGUUUAAAGCAGGCAUACGCUUGAAUACAUUAGCAUGGAAUAAUGAAAUAGGACGUUCGAUUCUAUUUUGUUGGUUUCUAGGAUCGACGUAAUGAUUAAUAGGGAUAGUUGGGGGCAUUAGUAUUCAAUUGUCAGAGGUGAAAUUCUUGGAUUUAUUGAAGACUAACUACUGCGACAGCAUUUGCCAAGGAUGUUUUCAUUAAUCAAGAACGAAAGUUAGGGGAUCGAAGACGAUCAGAUACCGUCGUAGUCUUAACCAUAAACUAUGCCGACUAGGGAUCGGAUGAUGUUAAUUUUUUAAUGACUCAUUCGGCGCCUUACG
rnacentral:rRNA from 1 species